UACGUAGGGUGCAAGCGUUGUCCGGAAUUAUUGGGCGUAAAGGGCUCGUAGGCGGUCCAUCACGUCGGGAGUGAAAAGCUGGGGCUUAACCCCAGUCCUGCUUCCGAUACGGGUGGACUAGAGGUAGGCAGGGGAGAACGGAAUUCCUGGUGUAGCGGUGAAAUGCGUAGAUAUCAGGAGGAACACCGGUGGCGAAGGCGGUUCUCUGGGGUGUUGCUGACGCUGAGGCGCGACAGCGUGGGGAGCAAACAGG
rnacentral:rRNA from 1 species